rnacentral:rRNA from 1 species
AUUCCAGCUCCAAUAGCGUAUAUUAAUGUUGUUGCAGUUAAAAAGCUCGUAGUUGGAUUUCUGCGCCGCGCAACUCGGUCCGCUGCACUGCAGUGUGAUGUGUGGUUGGAGCGUCGCAUCCUUGUGGGGACUGUUUGUGUCAUUAAUUUGAUGGAUUCCGGAACCGCAUCGUUUACUGUGAAAAAAUUAGAGUGUUCAAAGCAGGCUUAUGCCGUGAAUACAUUAGCAUGGAAUAAUAAGAUAGGACUUUGGUUCUAUUUUGUUGGUUUGCACAUUUAGAGAAUGAUUAACAGGGACAGUUGGGGGUAUUCAUAUUUACAUGUCAGAGGUGAAAUUCUCGGAUUUAUGGAAGACAAACUAAUGCGAAAGCAUCUACCAAGGAUGUUUUCAUUG